UCUCUCGUAGCUUAGUGGUUAAAGCGUUGGUACGAAAAGUCAAAGAUGCCGUGUUCGAUUCCCGGCGAUGGUG
rnacentral:tRNA from 1 species